rnacentral:rRNA from 1 species
CCUAGGGAGGCACCAGUGGGGAAUAUUGCACAAUGGGCGCAAGCCUGAUGCAGCCAUGCCGCGUGUAUGAAGAAGGCCUUCGGGUUGUAAAGUACUUUCAGCGGGGAGGAAGGGAGUAAAGUUAAUACCUUUGCUCAUUGACGUUACCCGCAGAAGAAGCACCGGCUAACUCCGUGCCAGCAGCCGCGGUAAUACGGAGGGUGCAAGCGUUAAUCGGAAUUACUGGGCGUAAAGCGCACGCAGGCGGUUUGUUAAGUCAGAUGUGAAAUCCCCGGGCUCAACCUGGGAACUGCAUCUGAUACUGGCAAGCUUGAGUCUCGUAGAGGGGGGUAGAAUUCCAGGUGUAGCGGUGAAAUGCGUAGAGAUCUGGAGGAAUACCGGUGGCGAAGGCGGCCCCCUGGACGAAGACUGACGCUCAGGUGCGAAAGCGUGGGGAGCAAACAGGAUUAGAUACCCUUGUAGUC